rnacentral:rRNA from 1 species
CCUACGGGUGGCAGCAGUGAGGAAUAUUGGUCAAUGGCCGGAAGGCUGAACCAGCCAUGCCGCGUGAAGGGCAGGGGCCUAGGGGCGUUAAACGUCUUUUGUGCGGGAGCAAAAAUGGACAAGUGGGGCCAGACGAGAGGACCGUACGAAUAAGCAACGGCUAACUCCGGGCCAGCAGCCGCGGUAAUACGGGGGAUGCAAGCGUUAUCCGGAUUUAGUGGGGUUCAAGGGGGCGUAGGCUGUGAGGUAAGUCAGCGGGGAAAUGCCCCCGCUCAACGGGGUGAAGUGCCAUUGAUACUGCCUUUCUGGACUGCGUAUGCCGUGGGCGGUAUGUGUGUUGUAGCGGUGACCUGCAUAGAUAUCACACAGAACCCCGAUUGCGACGGCAUCUCACGAAUCCGCGCUUGACGCUGCUGCACGACAGCGUGGGUAUCAAACCGGAUUAGCUCCCCCUGUAGUC